ACAUGAAUCAUGGAGGGACCUUGUUAAAAGGUGGAUUCUGAUUACACAGAUCUGGGAAGGACCUGAGACUCUACAUUUUUAACAAGGUUCCAGGUGAUGUCAAU
rnacentral:pre_miRNA from 1 species